AUUGAACGCUGGCGGCAUGCCUUACACAUGCAAGUCGAACGGCAGCACGGGAGCAAUCCUGGUGGCGAGUGGCGAACGGGUGAGUAAUAUAUCGGAACGUGCCCAGUAGUGGGGGAUAACUGCUCGAAAGAGCAGCUAAUACCGCAUACGACCUGAGGGUGAAAGGGGGGGAUCGCAAGACCUCUCGCUAUUGGAGGGGGCGAGAUCAGAUUAGCUUGUGGGUGGGGUAAAGGCCUACCAAGGCAACGAUCUGGAGUUGGUGUGAGAGGACGACAAGCCACACUGGGACUGAGACACGGCCCAGACUCCUACGGGAGGCAGCAGUGGGGAAUUUUGGACAAUGGGCGCAAGCCUGAUCCAGCAAUGCCGCGUGCAGGAAGAAGGCCUUCGGGUUGUAAACUGCUUUUGUCAGGGAAGAAAUCCUCUAGGUUAAUACCCUUGGGGGGAUGACGGUACCUGAAGAAUAAGCACCGGCUAACUACGUGCCAGCCGCCGCAGUAAAAC
rnacentral:rRNA from 1 species